rnacentral:rRNA from 1 species
GAAGGUGGCAAGCGUUGUUCGGAAUCAUUGGGCUUAAAGCGCACGUAGGCGGACUGGAAAGUGUCUUGUGAAAACCCACGGCUUAACCGUGGAAUUGCUUGGCAAACUAUCAGUCUUGAGGCAAGUAGGGGUACAUGGAACUCUUAGUGGAGCGGUGGAAUGCGUAGAUAUUAAGAGGAACGCCAAUGGUGAAGACAGUGUACUGGGCUUGUACUGACGCUGAGGUGCGAAAGCGUGGGGAGCGAACGGGGGAUUAGAUACCCCGGUAGUCCACGCCGUAAACGAUGUCUACUAGAUCGUGGGAGUUCUGACACUUUCACGGUCGAAGCAAAAGUGUUAAGUAGACCGCCUGGGGAGUACGGUCGCAAGGCUA